AUUGAGGGCGUGUGGGCUAAUAACCCCACC
rnacentral:rRNA from 2 species